CCAGGCUGUGGGGUGCAGGCAGGAACGCUCCAGGUCCCUGCAUGGGUCACAGGGACCAUCCCUGUGGACACUGAUUCGGCGAUGAGAGGUGUAAAAAUGGUGCUGGACGAGUGCCACAACUCCAUGUGCGGCUGCGGUCAUGGACGCAUGGACAGCGUUGUGGGAGGACAGCUGGUCAACAAGUAGGGAGAGGCAAAGCCUAUGCAUGACCCGAAGAAGAUAGGCUUGAAAUAAUUUUGAAUCAAAAAGAAAAGAACAAAAAGGUCUAAAAGUAAGGAAGACAGAUUUAUUUCAAACAUCAGCUUCUACUGUCUAGGAUUAGACAUCCCAGAUUCGUAUCUGUCACAGUUGAGCUGACGGGAAGCAUCAGCAACCCAGGAAGACGGCUGAAUGAAUCUCAGCUAAAAGGCUUCAUUUUCCUCAAGCAGUCCAGGCCUUUCAUUUCUCUACUGUGCAGGGCAGCACGGUAAUGAAUUCACGUUUGCUAUACUAACAUCUCCCAGCUCUGUCUCUGCCAUGCACGUCUAAAUAAACACCAUGUGUAUA